UAUAGUAAUAUUUCCGUAUACGGAGAGCAGCUGUCAGUAAAACGUUUAGAUUUGUGUAAUAAACCAAAUUGCUAUUUUAAUAGCUUAAAAUAAGUUAAUAUUCCGAAUAGAUCCCAUAUUCAUGAACAGACAUUUAUGUAAGGAGUUUAAGGCAACGCAGAUUAAAUGGAGAACAGAGCUACGAACAAAAGAGAUUAAACACAUGAGAACUAUGCUCUCGAAAUUGGUAACACAAUAGAUUGCAAAUGGUAAAAUACAAAAGAGAGUUAACACAAAAAAGCUACUUUCCCAGCGGAUUUAUAACAAAGCGAGCUGCCUGAGUUGGGAUCAAAUAACCAAUGCAACUGAACCAUUACGAAAAAUGUUCAAUCAAUGUAAUGAAAAAUAUGCAUCACAAUGAACACACACACACACAAAUGAAUAGAAGCAGCAGGGAAAGAACAAGAACAAAAUCAACAAAAUUAUGAAACAAACGUCAAUUGUCCAA